AAACUGUGAGUUUAAAUACAGAUAUUGCCAUCUAGACAAUAUCCACAUACAAAUAAAUCUUCAUCAUAAUUAUUGAUACAUUAUUUUACAACAAUGGUGAGGACUACUAAACAACUCUCCCUAGAACCUUCAUUCCAUACCCCGACUCGUACUCGCUAUAUUCUCGCCUCCUGAGAAGAAAAAUGGAACAAAAAGGAAAAGGGUGAGCUCAACUAGCCCAGUAAAG
rnacentral:lncRNA from 1 species